rnacentral:pre_miRNA from 1 species
UUUCUACUCCCUCCGUUUGGAAUUACUUGUCGCAGAAAUGGAUGUAUCUAGACAUAUUUUAAUUCUAGAUACAUCCAUUUUCGAGACAAGUAAUUCCGAACGAAGGGAGUAGUUU